UUUAUCCACAUCUUCCACAUCCAUACACUUUAUGGCUUCGUCACCUUCCAGGUGUCGGCCAACACAGCUCGAUUCAGAGUCCUAGUAGACAUCCCAGGUCGGGCCGGGUGUGUCAUUUGCUAUGUCUAUUUUAUUUUAUUUUUGCAACUUCUAACAGUAUGGUCGAUCACGUAAUUGUUUGCUGAUUUAAUAUAGAUAAUAUUGCACGUUUAACAGAUUGGUAUAAAACUUUCAAACCUUUUAAAAUAUUGUCCAAAACUGUAAACCCUUAAAAAAAUUCAAAAGUUAAUCAUCUACUCCCUUUGAAAAUACAUGAACUCAACCUAUGUUCCAAUUUUUUACCAUGUUUGUCUGCACAUAAUAUUUGUGUCGUUAUGUAAAGUAAUUUUAGGUGUUUAAAACACUUGGACAAAAUCAUAUUCACCUAUAUGUUAUUCAACAUAAAAUUACUAUGUGUAUGCACAUUUUAUCCCAUCGUGCUUAGUCAUUUGUCACAGCUCUAGGUUUUACUGAUUCUGCUUUCAUGUACAACCCGACUUGGAAAGGCUAAUCAUAGUUUUUAUACACAGGUACAAAGUCAACUUAGUUCUUGAAGAUGAAACUAAUGAAACAAAUGCUUUGAUACUUGGUAAAUCUGGUGAAAAGUUAUCUGGCACAAGCUGCACAGUUUUAGUGAUGAAUCAAAGAUUGAUGGAUCAACAGCAACUCCCAAAUGAAUUCUUGAGGUUGAUAGGACAAAAGAAAAAAAAUUCAUCUGCGGUUUGGAACUGGGAAAAAUAAUUUGAAUACGAAUGAUCUUCUGAUUUCCAAUGUUUCUGAAGACACAUUCAUGCAAUCAACAACUCCACAGGCCUUGCUAACGGAAAUUACAGUAUCUUCCACAACGGUUUCAUCUUCUACUUCCACACCUGAAACAACUGCCCAAUUGCAUAAACAAAAAAGGGAAUCAGUCAGGUCUCUUUUUAGCAGCAGUGAACAAAGUGACGUGGAAGAAAAUUCAGAAGAAAAUCCAAAAGACUUUGAUGAAGUUCCAAUCAAAUUGUUGAAAAAAAAAAUCAUCACCGAUUAGUACAAAGACAGAUCCUCUUGCUUCAAAAAAGACUUGGUUGCUUUCCCAGUGGUGAAAAUACUUGACCAAAACGUCAGUUGUUCGAGUCAUCAAAUUUACAGUCCUUUCUCAAUAUAUGUAUCAAACAUCUCUAAUAUUUUGGCCAUGUAAAUAGCUCUCUCUAAUCUAGACAGCACAAUAUUUUUUGGUACGUAAAUAAUUCUGUCUAACCUAGGGAGCAUAAUAUUUUUUGCAUGUAAAUAGUCCGGCACUAUACAAUCUUUAGUAUCUAAGUGCUUUGGUGCAGCACAAUGGAUGACUCUAAUAUUUUUUGUAUGUAGAUUACCAAACAUUCUGCAAUCUUUUACCCUACAGAUUGCAUAAACUAAGCAUUUUAUGUAUUAAAAUUUUCGAUCCUUUUGAUUGUAAAUAAUUUUAAUGCUGUUACACUAUUUUUACAUGUUUCAAGCCCAGUGUCUGGUGCAAUUGUUAAUCCUGCAGCAACGCGUGGGCAAAGUUUUCUAGCGAUUUCUAUGUUUGAUUCUCUCCUGUAACAUUACUAUUCCUAUAU